UUCCUUGUAGCUCAGUCAGUAAAGAAUCUGCCUGCAGCGCAGGAGACCCAGGUUCGAUCCCUGGGUCGGAAA
rfam:TPA: Bos taurus chromosome 2, whole genome shotgun sequence.